rnacentral:rRNA from 1 species
GUUCGUCACGUCGGAUGUGAAACUCUGGGGCUUAACCCCAGACCUGCAUUCGAUACGGGCGGGCUUGAGUAUGGUAGGGGAGUCUGGAAUUCCUGGUGUAGCGGUGGAAUGCGCAGAUAUCAGGAGGAACACCAAUGGCGAAGGCAGGACUCUGGGCCAUUACUGACACUGAGGAGCGAAAGCGUGGGGAGCGAACAGGAUUAGAUACCCUGGUAGUCCACGCCGUAAACGGUGGGCACUAGUUGUGGGGACCUUCCACGGUCUCUGCGACGCAGCUAACGCAUUAAGUGCCCCGCCUGGGGAGUACGAUCGCAAGAUUAAAACUCAAAGGAAUUGACGGGGCCCCGCACAAGCAGCGGAGCAUGCGGCUUAAUUCGACGCAACGCGAAGAACCUUACCAAGGCUUGACAUAUACAGGAAUAUGGCAGAGAUGUCAUAGCCGCAAGGUCUGUAUACAGGUGGUGCAUGGUUGUCGUCAGCUCGUGUCGUGAGAUGUUGGGUUAAGUCCCGCAACGAGCGCAACCCUCGUUCUGUGUUGCCAGCAUUAAGUUGGGGACUCACAGGAGACUGCCGGGGUUAACUCGGAGGAAGGUGGGGAUGACGUCAAAUCAUCAUGCCCCUUAUGUCUUGGGCUGCACGCAUGCUACAAUGGCUGGUACAAACGGCUGCGAUACCGCAAGGUGGAGCGAAUCCGAUAAAGCCAGUCUCAGUUCGGAUUGGGGUCUGCAACUCGACCCCAUGAAGUCGGAGU